GGUCACCACUCCGACCGCAUGGUCUGCCGAGCGGGACGAGUAGUCGGCGGCUGGCACUCCGGAUUUCUCCCCUAUUCCGCCCACAAUAGAUGAGUGAUCAGUGCCCACAUCACCGGACCUCCACGGAUGAACCUGUCAGGCUGGGGAGGCUCAUUCCUAGGAGAGAUCGUGUUUUGAGAUCAUUAAUCCACCACUGAAGGAAGUCAGAGCAGAAACUCAAGCAGGGACUUGAAGAAGAAACCAUGGAGGAAUACGGCUUGCUGGCUCACCUGUGCGUACUAGCUUGCUUAUACAUCCCGGAACCACUCACCCAGGGAAUGAUGGCACCCAUCAGUUCAAGAUGUUCAACUUGGCUGCUCCAGCUACCAUGCCUGCUGCCUGCCACCUCCACUCUGUCAUGGAACUGUAAGCCCAAAUAAACUCUUUUUUUAUCUAAGUUGCCUUGGCCACGUUUUAUCACAAUAUCAGAAAAGUGACUGAUACACAGGGUUUCUUACUGAACCUGGAGCUGGCCAGCAAGCCUGUGGGAGCCAUCUGUUUCUAUCCAUGAGUGCUGCACUGUGCCGUCAUGCUCAGCUUCUAAAGAUGUGCUUGGGAUCUGAACUCAAGUCUUCAUGCAAGCACUUUGCCCAUUGAACUAUCUCCCCCAUCUCUCCCAUGGCUCUUGGUAAUGUUGUUCUAAAAUGUCACUCAAAUAAAUUUGUAUCCUUUU
ensembl:lincRNA Jpx Jpx transcript, Xist activator (non-protein coding)